rnacentral:rRNA from 1 species
AGUGAACGCUGGCGGUAGGCCUAACACAUGCAAGUCGAACGGCAGCACAGGAGAGCUUGCUCUCUGGGUGGCGAGUGGCGGACGGGUGAGGAAUACAUCGGAAUCUACUCUGUCGUGGGGGAUAACGUAGGGAAACUUACGCUAAUACCGCAUACGACCUACGGGUGAAAGCAGGGGACCUUCGGGCCUUGCGCGAUUGAAUGAGCCGAUGUCGGAUUAGCUAGUUGGCGGGGUAAAGGCCCACCAAGGCGACGAUCCGUAGCUGGUCUGAGAGGAUGAUGAGCCACACUGGAGCUGAGACACGGACCAGACUCCUACGGGAGGCAGCAGUGGGGAAUAUUGGACAAUGGGCGCAAGCCUGAUCCAGCCAUACCGCGUGGGUGAAGAAGGCCUUCGGGUUGUAAAGCCCUUUUGUUGGGAAAGAAAUCCAGCUGGCUAAUACCCGGUUGGGAUGACGGUACCCAAAGAAUAAGCACCGGCUAACUUCGUGCCAGCAGCCGCAGUAA